rnacentral:rRNA from 1 species
GUAAGGGACCGAAUACGAGUAGGGAAGCCCGCGAUGUUCCGAGGCGAGAAAAGGCGAAGGUAGGGUGCCCGUACCGCAAACCGACACAGGUAGAUGAGGAGAGAAUCCUAAGGCCAACGGGAGAAGGGUUGUUAAGGAACUCGGCAAAAUGACCCCGUAACUUCGGGAUAAGGGGAGGCUGUCUAUGGCAGGCCGCAGAGAAUAGGCCCAAGCGACUGUUUACCAAAAACACAGGUCUAUGCUAAAUCGAAAGAUGACGUAUAUGGGCUGACGCCUGCCCGGUGCUGGAAGGUUAAGAGGAGAUGUCAGGCAACGAAGCAUUGAAUCGAAGCCCCAGUAAACGGCGGCCGUAACAAUAACGGUCCUAAGGUAGCGAAAUUCCUUGUCAGGUAAGUUCUGACCCGCACGAAUGGCGUAACGAUUUGGGCGCUGUCUCAACAGCCCACCCGGCGAAAUUGUUGUACUGGUGAAGAAGCCAGUUACCCGCAACUAGACGGAAAGACCCCAUGGAGCUUUACUGCAGCUUAAUACUGGAAUUCGGUAAUUCAUGUACAGGAUAGGUGGGAGACUGAGAACUAACGUCGUCAGGCGCUAGGGAGUCGCCCUUGGGAUACCACUCUUGAAUUGCUGGGUUUCUAACCUGCGGCCGUGAAUCCGGUCGGGGGACACUGUUAGGCAGACAGUUUGACUGGGGCGGUCGCCUCCUAAAAGGUAACGGAGGCGCUCAAAGGUUGGCUCAGCACGGACGGAAAUCGUGCAAUGAGUGUAAACGUAUAAGCCAGCCUAACUGCGAGAGUGACGGCUCGAGCAGUAACGAAAGUUGGAGUUAGUGAUCCGGUGGUAUGUGAGUGGAAAUGCCAUCGCUCAACGGAUAAAAGCUACCCUGGGGAUAACAGGCUGAUCUCCCCCAAGCGUCCACAGCGACGGGGAGGUUUGGCACCUGAUGUCGGCUCGUCACAUCCUGGGGCUGUACUCGGUCCCAAGGGUUCGGCUGUUCGCCGAUUAAAGUGGCACGCGAGCUGGGUUCAGAACGUCGUGAGACAGUUCGGUCCCUAUCUGUUGCGGGCGUAAGAGAUUUGAAGGGGGCUGUCCUUAGUACGAGAGGACCGGGAUGGACGCACCUCUGGUGCACCUGUUGUCGUGCCAACGGCAUAGCAGGGUAGCUACGUGCGGACGAGAUAAACGCUGAAAGCAUCUAAGCGUGAAACUUUCCCUAAGAUAAGAUCUCUCAUCCUUCAUGGAGUAAGGCACGAUGUAGACUAUAUCGUAGAUAGGCCGGAGGUGGAAGUGCAGUAAUGUAUGGAGCUGACCGGUACUAAUAAGCCGAGGGCUUGACCU